UUUGAAAAAUGUUGGUUUUGGUUCUUGUUAUUUAUGUAUCAACAUCAACAUUGCUGUUUAAAACUCUCAAGUCAUAUGAAAUUUAAAGCCAAUUAAAAGCCAGUGCUGAAAAUGCUGCAGAAAAAGCUUUAUUGAGUCUUACUCUGCUGUAAAACUUCUUGAAGUAUCAGAAAAUUAAUGAAGAGUGAAAGCUAAACCUU
rnacentral:miRNA from 1 species